UUGGAGAAGGCUAGGCCAGCUUGGCGUUGGUUGUCCAAGUUUAAGGUGGUAGGCUGAAAUCUUAGGUAAAUCCGGGGUUUCAAGGCCGAGAGCUGAUGACGAGUCGUCUUUUAGAUGACGAAGUGGUUGAUGCCAUGCUUCCAAGAAAAGCUUCUAAGCUUCAGGUAACCAGGAACCGUACCCCAAACCGACACAGGUGGUCGGGUAGAGAAUACCAAGGCGCUUGAGAGAACUCGGGUGAAGGAACUAGGCAAAAUGGCACCGUAACUUCGGGAGAAGGUGCGCCGGCUAGGGUGAAGGAUUUACUCCGUAAGCUCUGGCUGGUCGAAGAUACCAGGCCGCUGCGACUGUUUAUUAAAAACACAGCACUCUGCAAACACGAAAGUGGACGUAUAGGGUGUGACGCCUCCCCGGUGCCGGAAGGUUAAUUGAUGGGGUUAGCGCAAGCGAAGCUCUUGAUCGAAGCCCCGGUAAACGGCGGCCGUAACGAUAACGGUCCUAAGGUAGCGAAAUUCCUUGUCGGGUAAGUUCCGACCUGCACGAAUGGCGUAACGAUGGCGGCGCUGUCUCCACCCGAGACUCAGUGAAAUUGAAAUCGCUGUGAAGAUGCAGUGUAUCCGCGGCUAGACGGAAAGACCCCGUGAACCUUUACUGUAGCUUUGCACUGGACUUUGAGCCUGCUUGUGUAGGAUAGGUGGGAGGCUUUGAAGCGUGGACGCCAGUUCGCGUGGAGCCAUCCUUGAAAUACCACCCUGGCAUGCUUGAGGUUCUAACUCUGGUCCGUAAUCCGGAUCGAGGACAGUGUAUGGUGGGCAGUUUGACUGGGGCGGUCUCCUCCUAAAGAGUAACGGAGGAGUACGAAGGUGCGCUCAGACCGGUCGGAAAUCGGUCGCAGAGUAUAAAGGCAAAAGCGCGCUUGACUGCGAGACAGACACGUCGAGCAGGUACGAAAGUAGGUCUUAGUGAUCCGGUGGUUCUGUAUGGAAGGGCCAUCGCUCAACGGAUAAAAGGUACUCCGGGGAUAACAGGCUGAUACCGCCCAAGAGUUCAUAUCGACGGCGGUGUUUGGCACCUCGAUGUCGGCUCAUCACAUCCUGGGGCUGAAGCCGGUCCCAAGGGUAUGGCUGUUCGCCAUUUAAAGUGGUACGCGAGCUGGGUUUAGAACGUCGUGAGACAGUUCGGUCCCUAUCUGCCGUGGACGUUUGAGAUUUGAGAGGGGCUGCUCCUAGUACGAGAGGACCGGAGUGGACGAACCUCUGGUGUUCCGGUUGUCACGCCAGUGGCAUUGCCGGGUAGCUAUGUUCGGAAAAGAUAACCGCUGAAAGCAUCUAAGCGGGAAACUUGCCUCAAGAUGAGAUCUCACUGGGAACUUGAUUCCCCUGAAGGGCCGUCGAAGACUACGACGUUGAUAGGCUGGGUGUGUAAGCGUUGUGAGGCGUUGAGCUAACCAGUACUAAUUGCCCGUGAGGCUUGACC
rnacentral:rRNA from 1 species